rnacentral:misc_RNA from 1 species
UGAACCCCGGUAUCUAGAGUCUG